CCUACGGGUGGCAGCAGUGGGGAAUAUUGGACAAUGGGCGAAAGCCUGAUCCAGCCAUGCCGCGUGUGUGAAGAAGGCCUUCGGGUUGUAAAGCACUUUCAGUGGGGAAGAAAGCCUUGGGGCUAAUACCCUCGAGGAAGGACAUCACCCACAGAAGAAGCACCGGCUAACUCCGUGCCAGCAGCCGCGGUAAUACGGAGGGUGCGAGCGUUAAUCGGAAUUACUGGGCGUAAAGCGCGCGUAGGCGGUCUGAUAAGCCGGUUGUGAAAGCCCCGGGCGCAACCUGGGAACGGCAUCCGGAACUGUCAGGCUAGAGUGCAGGAGAGGAAGGUAGAAUUCCCGGUGUAGCGGUGAAAUGCGUAGAGAUCGGGAGGAAUACCAGUGGCGAAGGCGGCCUUCUGGACUGACACUGACGCUGAGGUGCGAAAGCGUGGGUAGCAAACAGGAUUAGAUACCCUAGUAGUC
rnacentral:rRNA from 1 species